rnacentral:misc_RNA from 1 species
GAUGAAGAACGCAGCGAAAUGCGAUAAGUAGUGUGAAUUGCAGAAUUCAGUGAAUCAUCGAAUCUUUGAACGCACAUUGCGCCCUUUGGUAUUCCUUAGGGCAUGCCUGUUCGAGCGUCAUUUCACCACUCAAGCCUGGCUUGGUGUUGGGCGACGUCCCCUUUGGGGACGCGCCUCGAAACGCUCGGCGGCGUGGCACCGGCUUUAAGCGUAGCAGAAUCUUUCGCUUUGGAAGUCGGGGCCCCGUCUGCCGGAAGACCUACUCGCAAGGUUGACCUCGGAUCAGGCAGGGAUACCCGCUGAACUUAAGCAUAUCAAUAAGCGGAGGA